UACGUAGGGUGCAAGCGUUGUCCGGAAUUAUUGGGCGUAAAGAGCUCGUAGGCGGUCUGUCGCGUCGGACGUGAAAAUCCAGGGCUCAACCCUGGACCUGCGUUCGAUACGGGCAGACUAGAGUUCGGUAGGGGAGACUGGAAUUCCUGGUGUAGCGGUGAAAUGCGCAGAUAUCAGGAGGAACACCGAUUGCGAAGGCAGCUCACAAAACUGUAACUGACGCUGAGGCACGAAAGCGUGGGUAUCAAACAGG
rnacentral:rRNA from 1 species